CACUAAAAAGAUGACGUCGGGCUCCACUCUCUGCAUUCUGCCGUUUUCUUGGUCAUAUUUUUUUGAGUUAUUUUGUGACUUCUCAAGCUAGCCAACUACUUUGGAACUUCUAAAGAAUCACAUUUGAACUUAGUUGCUGAUAAUUGACUCACUACCUCCGCUGGAAGCUGGUUCCAAGCUUUUGCUGUUACAUUACUUUUGAAUUUCUCUCCUAUCAGUGUGAGAAUGCUUAUUGAGAAUUUUGAUUAUAAACAUCAAAUUCAAUACAAGCCAAACUCAAAGAAAGAAAAAAUGGAAGAAGAAGUUCAAGAAAAAAAGAAAGAAAAGAAGAAAAAGAGAAGAAAAAGGAUAUUACAAAGAAAAAAUACACGAAGAAGUGAUUUCCAAUCUUCAUCAGAAGUAUAGACAAAUUCAGUGACCCUUCACUCCCUGUAAGUUUACAAACAUUUAUCUCUACAUUCCAUAUCCCCUUUUUUAUAUAUAUAUAAACAAAUUCAAAAAAUAUCAUCCUUUCCAUCCUAAUGGCAGCAGAACAUCCAAAAAGGGUAAGCAAAAGUCACAACAUAUUUUAAACUUGAUCAAAUAAGCCAAUUUAUAUUCCUUCCUUAUACUUCAAACAGCAAAUUCAAACAGUUGCUGAACGAGGGGUCAUUAAAUGAGAACUACUUGUAUAACCUAACCCCAAUCCAUCAUGUAAACCAUUUUGUUGCUAAAUUUCAACUUAAUGUUCUGUAUGCUGAGAAACAGAAAUUACGAAGUCUUAUGUCACUUAUAGGCAGUAAAUUGGCCACUGCUUCUAUAUAUAAAUUAAUCUACAAUUGGUUGCACUUAGAAGAGUCCAUGAGGAACUCAAGAUAGUGGUUGUAGUCAUGUAAUAGAAGCCCCACCCAUUUUAAUAUGUGUAACACAUGCAACACACAUAAAAAAAAAACUUGAGACUUAAAUCGCACAAUUGCAGCCACCUUCUUCAACAUUUUUGACCCCUACUUGCUGCAUUGCACUUCAAAUAAUACAUAGUUAGAAUGCUGAUUUGUACCAAUCAAUUAUGUAUGCAAAUCUCACACAAUGAUUCCUUGUCCAGGUUUUUAAUAAAUGCAUCCAAAACACAGCAUCAGAGCCAAAGUCAUCCUUUCUGAUUAGACCCUUGUCUGAUUUUGACUUUUCACAGUACACCGUUAUGCAGAGUUUCUGUCUUAGCUUUCUUCAGGCUACUCUUUCAUGA